GAAGCUGUGGCUCAGUGGUAGAGACCCUGCUUUGCAUGCAGAAGGUCCCAGGUUCAGCCCCCAGCAGCAUCU